UAUAGAGAACAGAGACAGGACAAAAGAUUCAAGACCAGAAGCCCUAAACCAUAUUAACAUACACUAACCAACACAGCAUAAGUGAAACGGGGAUCCAAGAAAAGAGUCUAGAUUGACUCACGAGAGAACUCCAAACCAGGGAGACUUCAAUUUACACCUGAGUUGUUGAGACUUGAAAAAAGAAGAAAAAGAAAAAGAAAAAGUGGA
rnacentral:lncRNA from 1 species